AGGACGAACGUUGGCGGCGUGCCUAACACAUGCAAGUCGAACGUGGCUUAAGUUUACUUAAGUCUAGUGGCGGACGGCAGAGUAAUGCACAGGAACGUACCUCGAGGUGAGGGAUAGCCCUUCGAAAGAAGGGGUAAUACCCCAUAUGCUCGCAAGAGUAAAGCCGCAAGGCGCCACGAGAACGGCCUGUGUCCUAUCAGGUAGUUGGUGAGGUAAAGGCUCACCAAGCCUAUGACGGGUAGCUGGUCUGAGAGGAUGAUCAGCCUGAUCGGGACUGAGACACGGCCCGAACUCCUACGGGAGGCAGCAGUUGGGAAUUUUGCACAAUGGACGAAAGUCUGAUGCAGCGACGCCGCGUGGAGGAUGAAGGUCUUCGGAUCGUAAACUCCUUUACUGGGAAUAUUUAUGAAGUCCAAGUGAAUAAGCACCGGCUAACUCCGUGCCAGCAGCCGC
rnacentral:rRNA from 1 species